rnacentral:lncRNA from 1 species
UAUUUAUUGGGAAGGCAGAGAUAGUGUGACACUGAGAGAGACAGAGAAAAAGAGAGAGAGGGAGAACAUGAAUCUCCCAUCCUCUGGUUCACUCCCAAAUGCACACAACAGCCAGCGCUAUGCCAGCCAAUACUAGGAAGCAGGAACCCAAUCUGGGUCUCCCAUGUGAAAGAUAGGGUCCCACUCACUUCAGCAUCAUCUGCUGCCCCUCAGGUGUGCAUUAGCAAGAGGCUGGAAUUAGCAGCAGUCAGGACUCAAACCCAAGCACUCUGAUAUGGAAUGUGGGUAUCCUAUGCAGCAUUUUAACCACUGUGCCAAACGCACACCCCAGGCAUGGAAAAUUUUUGUUCAUCCAUUUGUGUAGGUGUUGGUGAAAGAAAGAGAGUUUAUGCUACCCUUCAUUGGCCACACUGUUUAAAUUUAUCAGACAUUGAUUACAUCUUCAUUUUUCCUAGAUAAACCCAGUUCAAGAUAAAUUUGCAACAGCUUUAACCUCCUCAAUCAAAGAAAGCAAUUUAGGGGCCAGCACUGUGGUAAAGCAAGUAAAGCCUCCACCUGCAGUGCCAGCAUCCCAUAUGGGUGCCAGUUCCAGCCCUGACUGUUCUACUUCCAAUCCAGCUCUCUGCUAUGGCCUAGAAAAGCAGUAAAAAAUGGCCCAAGUGCUUGGGCUGUUGCACCCUUGUGGGAGACCCUGAAGAAGCUCCUGGCUCCUGGCUUUGGAUUGGCCCAGCUCUGGCCAUUUCAACCAUUUGGGGAGUGAACCAGUGGAUGAAAGACUUUCUCUCUUUCUCUUUCUUUCUCUCUCUCUAUCUCUGCAACUCUGCCCUUCAAAUAAAUAAGUAAACAUUUUUAAAAAAAGAAAGAAAGCAAUUGGCAUUACUGCUAAGUACAAAGCUUUGUUUUAUCUCAUGUUUGUUUUUAAAAGGCCAUUCUUCCAACUGCUAUUAUUAGAUAAGAUCAUAAACUCUGGGCAAAAAAAUGCUAUAAUGAAGUUCUUAAAACCCAGUGAUUCAACUACACUUUCAAAAACUCUUGUACCCCUCCCAUGUAUUCUGCAUUUAUUCUCUCAAAUCUCAAAUCACAGAAACUAAAAUGCUAUGCCUAAAGAGAGCCUGGCAUGUACCUAAGCCUCUACUGUGACAGGUGUGUGGAGUACAGCCCACAGGAGGUUAAGUCAUCUGUCUCCAGCAUCUUACAUGAACAAGAAGGACAGUGACAACCGGCAGUUCCUGC